GACGUAGGGGGCGAGCGUUGUCCGGAGUUACUGGGCGUAAAGGGCACGCAGGCGGUCUGCCAAGUUCACGGGGACAGUCCCCAGCUUAACCGGGGAAGAGCUGUGAAAACUGGCGGACUUGAGGACCAGAGAGGGACAGGGAAUUCCGAGUGGAGCGGUGAAAUGCGUAGAGAUUCGGAGGAACACCGAAGGCGAAGGCACUGUCCUGGCUGGCUCCUGACGCUCAGGUGCGAAAGCGAGGGGAGCGAACGGG
rnacentral:rRNA from 1 species